UACAGAGGUCCCAAGCGUUGUUCGGAUUUACUGGGCGUAAAGGGUGCGUAGGCGGUUGGGUAAGUCUGAUGUGAAAUCCCCGGGCCCAACCCGGGAACUGCAUUAGAAACUGCCCGGCUGGAGGGUUGGAGGGGGGACUGGAAUUCCCGGUGUAGCAGUGAAAUGCGUAGAUAUCGGGAGGAACGCCAGUGGCGAAGGCGAGUCCCUGGACAACACCUGACGCUGAGGCACGAAAGCUAGGGGAGCAAACAGG
rnacentral:rRNA from 1 species